rfam:Triticum aestivum genome assembly, contig: Triticum_aestivum_CS42_TGACv1_scaffold_513211_6BS
GAUGUACUCCCUCCGUCCGAAAAUACUUGUCAUCAAGAUGGAUAAAAAGAGAUGUAUCUAAAACUAAAAUGCGUUUAGAUAUAUCCGCUUUUAUCCAUUUUUGAUGACAAGUAUUUCCGAACGGAGGGAGUAAAAA